UUAAGUUGGUUACAUCAAGUACAGGUUUAUAUAUUUUGGAAAACAUAAGCUAAUGGCCAUCAAGCUAGCAUGUUAUUGGGCAAUCUUGUUUGUGUUGCCUCUAACCAAUGCUAACACUACUGUUGUUUGCAAUGACACAUAUUCAAACACACAAGGUCUGCAGUGUUUUCCAUGUAGCCCAGGGUAUACAAAGAAAGAUGAUUGUAGGACAAACCAAACUCUCGCACAGUGUACCCAAUGCAACGAAGGAACGUAUCAACCACACUGUAUUUCUGCAAAUGAAACGGGAGAGUGCAGAAACUGCACAUCAUGUGCUGUUUAUAUACAAAAUUGUACUAUUUACCAUGAUGCUGUCUGUGGAUGGAGUAAUAAUGUAAAGGGUAUAUCAUUAUUA